rnacentral:rRNA from 1 species
CGACGCUUGCGGCAUCUUACACAUGCUAGUCGCACGGGCAGGCAACCUGUCAGUGGCGGACGGGUGAGUAACGCGUUAUAUCCUUGGGUGGGGGACAACCGUGGGAAACUACGGCUAAUACCGCAUGAUCCCUGAUGGGCAAAGUGCGAAAGUCGCCUGAGGAGGAGCCUGCGUCUGAUUAGGUAGUUGGUGGGGUAAAGGCCUACCAAGCCUUCGAUCAGUAGCUGGUCUGAGAGGAUGAUCAGCCACACUGGGACUGAGACACGGACCAGACUCCUACGGGAGGCAGCAAUGGGGACUAUUGGACAAUGGGCGAAAGCCUGAUCCAGCAAUGCCGCGCUGGACUGAAGCACGGUCUUCGAGAUUGUAAAGUCCUUUUGG